GUCGAGAAUCUUUCACAAUGGGGGCAACCCUGAUGGAGCGACGCCGCGUGGAGGAUAAGGUCUUCGGAUUGUAAACUCCUGUCAUGCGUGAACAAGGUUGCUUGGUUAAUACCUGGGCAAAUUGAUGGUAACGCAAGAGGAAGAGACGGCUAACUCUGUGCCAGCAGCCGCGGUAAUACAGAGGUCUCAAGCGUUGUUCGGAAUCACUGGGCGUAAAGGGUGCGUAGGUGGCGUGGUAAGUCAGAUGUGAAAGCCCGGGGCUCAACCUCGGAACUGCAUCCGAUACUGCCAUGCUAGAGUACUGGAGAGGUGACUAGAAUUCUCGGUGUAGCAGUGAAAUGCGUAGAUAUCGAGAGGAAUACCAGAAGCGUAGGCAGGUCACUGGACAGUUACUGACACUGAGGCACGAAGGCCAGGGGAGCGAACGGGAUUAGAAACCCUAGUAGUCC
rnacentral:rRNA from 1 species